rnacentral:tRNA from 1 species
CGGGCUGUGGCGCAGUUGGUAGCGCGGCUGGUUUGGGACCAGCAGGCCGCAGGUUCGAGCCCUGUCAGCCCGA